rnacentral:rRNA from 1 species
GAGUUUGAUUCUGGCUCAGAUUGAACGCUGGCGGCGUGCUUAACACAUGCAAGUCGAACGUGAAAGGGGCUUCGGCCCCGAGUAAAGUGGCGCACGGGUGAGUAACGCGUGGACAAUCUGCCCUUAUGAGUGGGAUAACAGUUGGAAACGACUGCUAAUACCGCAUACGCUCAGGAAUGACUUUUUGAGGAAAGGCGGCCUCUGCUUGCAAGCUGUCGCAUAAGGAUGAGUCCGCGUCCCAUUAGCUUGUUGGUGGGGUAACGGCCUACCAAGGCAACGAUGGGUAGCCGAUUUGAGAGGAUGAUCGGCCACACUGGAACUGAAACACGGUCCAGACUCCUACGGGAGGCAGCAGUGGGGAAUAUUGCGCAAUGGGCGAAAGCCUGACGCAGCGACGCCGCGUGAGGGAUGAAGGUUUUCGGAUCGUAAACCCUCUGUCGGAAGGGAAGAAGGUGCACUCUGCUAAUCAGGGG